CCUAGUCCAGGGCCAUGAUCAGACCUUAGCUAAGCAGCCAGGAUGGCUUCUGUCAUAUCCAGGUGACACUAUGACAUCACAGUGAGGAAGGAAGGGAAUGGACCCCAUGAUUCUCAGCCUCGGGCUGACCAGGAGGCUGUGGCUGGAGGUCACAUUUCCCUGUCUCUCUGUGCAGGUCACAUUCCCUGAGUCUCAGGAGCUGCCUGGACCUGUGCUUGUCACCUCCUGCAUCACCUGAAGCUCCAUGCUGACACCUGCUCAACUCUCCUACCAGCUGUCACCAGUGGCAAUGUCAUCAGGAGAACCAUUCCUGAAGCUCUUCCAGAAUUGACACAAUUUCCAGUCACUUUCUUAAAUUGCGUAGAUGGAUUCCUGUUAGCCAUUGAUCACCAGGAUCUGUAGUCCUAGCCUCAAAAAUGGAACCCUUUCUUCACAAUUAGUCCCUUGUCCUAUGGGAUCUGAUGACCAUGUGUUCAUCCUAUCACUCAGUUUAAUGGAGGAGUGACCAUGACAAACCUAUAGGCCAAGAAUUUUGAGCAGAAAACUAAAGUGAGCAGAUAGAAUUUUCCAAGCUGCUCCAUGGGCACAAUAGAGAGGGUGGGGAUGAGCCCAAGAUUCUGAAGAGCAAAUAUUCUAUGACUGAGAGAAAUAGAAGGCAGUGUGAUAAAGGACAGUGUGACAGAUUCUGAUAACACUAGACAUUCUGCUAUGAAACUAAAGAUGAUAAAAAUACACAUCUAAAAAAAAUCUACAAAUAGAAACUUAUAGGAACUGUGUUCAGCAUUGAAACCUUGGAAGAAACAAGCCUGCCCGCCUCUAGGGGAAAGGAUCAAUACUGU
rnacentral:lncRNA from 1 species